ACCGGCAGAUCAAGUGGUGGCCAUUUUUAUUGGGCCUAAAGCGUUCGUAGCCGGUUUGAUAAGUCUCUGGUGAAAUCUCACGGCUUAACCGUGAGAAUUGCUGGAGAUACUAUUAGACUUGAGGCCGGGAGAGGUUAGCGGUACUCCCAGGGUAGUGAUGGAAGCCUAUAAUCCUGGGAGGACCACCUUUGGCGAAGGCGGCUUACUGGAACAGACCGGACGGUGAGUAACGAAAGUCAGGUGCGCGAACCG
rnacentral:rRNA from 1 species